CUGACAGUUGCAAAUCCACCGCUCUCUGCUGUGCUGCUGUGCUGAGAAGGGGACUUUGCAAACCGCCUUUUCCCGGAGCUUGGCUUGCUUCCUGCUUCUGCCGGCAGAGGGCUCUGCACGGGGCGGGCCCAGGGAGGGAGGCGGGGCCUCAUGACCGGCGGGCUUCGCCCACCCCGGAUGCGGUGGCGCCUCGCCCGGCGGCCGCCGCUGGUUGCAGCCUUCCCCCUUCUUCCCGCGCUUCCAGAAGCAGCCUCGUGGGAGGCGCCGUCUUCCUCAGAAGCACCUUCUCUAAACCCCUGGUCCCAGCAGCAUCCGGGUAGCAGCGCUCCCGCCUCCACAGGUGGAUGGAAACGAGACCAAGAGAAAAAAAUAAGCAACUUAAUAACCUACUUUUACCCAGAGAAUGGAAAAUAAAAUGCAAGAUUCCAAACCCUGCCCUUUCAUUGCAUCUUCAUCUUUGGAAAAUACAGGAAGAAGUGGGCUGUUUUGGCUUCCUACCAUGGAUGAGGAUCUCGAAGGAGAAAGUUGGCAGACCUUCUCCAUUCCCUGGGGCUUCGGCAAGGCAGUAGAGGAUGAAGGAGCGCACAUCUGCCA
rnacentral:lncRNA from 1 species